rnacentral:rRNA from 1 species
CCUACGGGGGGCAGCAGUGAGGAAUAUUGGUCAAUGGCCGCAGGGCUGAACCAGCCAAGUCGCGUGAGGGAUGACGGUCCUAUGGAUUGUAAACCUCUUUUGUCAGGGAGCAAAGGGCGCCACGUGUGGCGCUUUGCGAGUACCUGAAGAAAAAGCAUCGGCUAACUCCGUGCCAGCAGCCGCGGUAAUACGUAGGUGGCAAGCGUUGUCCGGAUUUACUGGGUGUAAAGGGCGUGCAGCCGGGCUGACAAGUCAGAUGUGAAAUCCCGCGGCUCAACCGCGGAACUGCAUUUGAAACUGUUAGU